rnacentral:rRNA from 1 species
CAGCCGCCGCGGGAAUACGUAGGGUGCGAGCGUUAAUCGGAAUUACUGGGCGUAAAGCGUGCGCAGGCGGUUGUGUAAGACAGGUGUGAAAUCCCCGGGCUUAACCUGGGAACUGCGCUUGUGACUGCACAGCUAGAGUAUGGCAGAGGGGGGUGGAAUUCCACGUGUAGCAGUGAAAUGCGUAGAGAUGUGGAGGAACACCGAUGGCGAAGGCAGCCCCCUGGGCCAACACUGACGUUCAUGCCCGAAAGCGUGGGGAGCAAACAGGAUUAGAUACCCGGGUAGUCCCUGUCUCUUAUAC